AAUGAUUGAGAGGAGGAGCUCUUCCACCCACCCUGACGUGCCACUGCCGCUGUCACACCGCUGUCCGCCAUACUCUAACAGAUUGAAGGAAAAAACCGCAGUUUAAAAAUAAAAAAUGUCAUUGCGGGGCGAGAGCAGCAUUCAGGAUUUCAGAGUCAAUGGAAAAGCCAGGGAUGGUAUACUUUGCUUGCCCUUUCAACAACACCAAUGGAUGCGGCUUCUUUGAGUGGUGGAUGCCUGUACAUAAUCAACGUCAAUGGUUGAAGAUGAUAAGGGAGGAAAGCGACGAAAAUUGUAAUAUUAACCCUUUGGUCAACGAACUGUUUGUAUCCAAUGAUGAGCUAAAAGAGAUGGUUACAAAGUUUAGGAAAGAAAGUAAACAAAUGGUUGUAGAGAUCAGACAACUUAGGAAAAAGUUGCACUAUGCCAUUGUAAUAGUAUUAAUUGGAUUUGGACUUUUUUUGUUGUUGUUUAAAUAUUAAGUGUAAAGUAAAUUCGGAUUUGGACUUCGUCUUUUGUGAACUAAA